rnacentral:lncRNA from 1 species
CUAAUUCUAAACAAUAAGACACUAAAAUGAACCAAGAAUGAUUUCUAAACACAAAAAGAUAAAAAUAUUGAGUUAUCACACCCCACACUUGCACAACUGCCGCUAAAAAGAAAAAGAAAAACAAAGACUCAAUUUAUAAAGGGAAAACUAAAGACAAACUAGGAGGCUUCUAAAUUCUGUUUCAGCUAUCUCAAACCUGCCAAAACACACCAANUCAUAGUUAUUUACUUCAAUCAGAACUGCACAAAAGUAUUCCUAACUUCAAACUCAGGCUUCAACAAUUCCAGCAAAUGAGAAACAACUUAAUUCAAUCAAAAUCAGCAAAGAAAACAUAUGAUAAAGUAGCAGUCAGUCUCAACCUCACAGGAUGCAGUGUAUGCACUCAAAUCACUCAACUGUUUAGGGCUAUCCUGUUUCACUCAAUCAUGACAUGUUAACCACCAUUCACAACUUUGAAAAAAUUCUAAAUGAGAGUGCUUGACUCAAGGCUUUCUCUAAAUCACUAGGUCUUUAUUGGGCUUAAUGUACAUGGAAUGAAAUGGAAAAACAGAAAAGGAUGGGAUCUGAAAUGAGUAGAGAAAUGUGAAAAAGAAGGGAGAAAUCUAAACCUCAGUGCAAAGUCUAACUUUUAAUCUUUGGCCAGCCUAUUUUUUUCUUUCUUUUUUUCUCUGGUUCCUUUCUCUUUUACACACAUUUCAGGUCUUUUUCUUUACNUUAUUUUUCUGAUUUUUCUCANUUCCAGACCUGUUUCAUUCUUUUUCAACCAAACCAGAUUUUUUUCAGCAUAUUUUUCUUUCCUUUUCACCUCUGGCCUCACUCUUUUUAUGCAUUCACCAAGUUCUAGACCUCUCCCUAUAUCUCACAAGUCUCUAAGGAAUGAUUGGUUGGUGGAAAUGGCUUGAAAUGGAUGGAAACAGGAAAAGAGGCUAAAGCUCAAAACAAGGUACAGUGGUAAGAAACGGGUAGGCUAAAUUGGUUAUGGCUGAAAAUGAAGAAUGCCUAGAUUGUAUUUAAAGUAUACCAAGAGUAAGCACAUCAACAAAGAAUCAAUGCAAAAUCAGGAUGAUAAUUAAACAUGCAUGUUAUCACACAUGAAAGACAAAAACUGGCCCAAAAUCUCUCCAAGGGUUAAAGAAUUGUUAAAACUGACUUGCUACUCAUCCUAUGCAAAAAUUACUGAAUUCAAAUGAACUAGAGACUGCAAAAAUUAAUGCUAGAACUACCUCUACCUAAAUCAAAGGCUAAGUCUACUCUUGACAACUCUAAUCUAAGGAAAUAAAACUAAGAAAUGAGUUAAUUCAGCAAGGAAUGAAGAAAAACUUGAAACAGAACCUAAAAGCUCCUAGAAACACUUAAACAAAUUUACCUAAGCUAUAUACAAUAUAAACUAAACUAAGACAAAACAAUAUGUACAAAAAGAACCUACUCAACUAAAACAGAUUCAAAUAAGACCUACAACAGCCCCUAACUAAAACUUCUUAUGUAAAAAGAAACAAUAAAAAGAGAAAAGAAAUGAACCAGCAAGAAGCAAUAAGAAACCUAAAGCAAUCAGAACAAAAAUGUAUAAAAGAAGACUAAAGGGAAUUUUAAGCAAAGACUGAAACAGAACCUAAGUGAGAGGAAUCUUAAGGCAAGCAAAUCCUAAAAAAAAAAUCCUAUUUACAAGCUGAACAGAAUGUAAGAAAUAAAAAAAAAUACACCUGGAACAAAAAUCGGAAUCAGAAUCUAAAACGAGAAAACAGCAAUGAAAAAGAUCUAGAAGCAUACAACGAAUCUUAAAAGCAAAAAUAUUCAUAAAGAACCUAAACUAUUCCUAUAGACUGCCUAAACGAAUCCUCAAAAGUAGCAAAAAUCAGGUAUUCACAAACUAGAAUUAGAUAUUCACAGACUAAAACUAAGUAUAGCUAAACUAAAGGAAAACAGCUUCAGAAAAAAAAUUGCCCCUAUUUUAUUACUAAAACUAAUACUAAACAGAGAUAUUUACAACAGAACAAGAAUUUUAAACCUAUACCUUCCCACUCCCACACUUAAGAGGCACAUUGCCUUCAAUGUGUGAGUGGGUAAGACUCCUAAACAGCACAGAUAGCAACAAGUAUUUACAGCUCAAACAAAAUCAGAAUUAUACAAAAAUGGAAUUGAGAAAACACAAAUUUGAACAAGAAAUGUACAGAACAAAAAUAAAAAGCUUAAAGCUAAACCUAUAAAGCUAAAAGAAAAGGAAAACAUGUUCAAAUGGGCCACAUAUCAAAAUUAAUCUUUUUAAUUUUUAUGAAAAAUAGCAUAUCAUCUAUCCUACUAUUUACUAUGCUAGUUAAAACUAUGCACAUUACUAACAAGCAUCUAAAACUACAAUUAAAGAGAAAAGUGAGGAAUUGGCUUAUUGGUUUUUCUCCAUUUUGCUCAUCCACUUUUUGCAAUGCCUCCAAGGUUGCAUUGAGUUGCUCCUUCUCAGCUCUCCANUGCAGCAAACUCAGCUCUCCUUUUAGUGCCGCUGGUUCUGCAUUUUCCAAGCACUUUUCUGCAGCAACCAGAGCUCUUCUUUCCCAACUAGCUCAACCAGGACUUCUUUCAUGCCUUCAGUGUGUGCAGCUUCCUCUUCAUUUAAUUCUGCAGAACAUUCACUAAAUUCAAAGUUAACAUUCAUGAGUGGAUCAUCAAACGUUGCAGCUUUGUUAACAGUAAUCUUCAGAAUCAUUUUCAAUAAAGAGCAGCACAUCAAAGGCUGGACACAUAACAUCAAUACAUUCAGCAGGAGUAUGAAGAUGUCCAAUCUCAAAUGCUGCUUUAGAAGCCUUAGAAUCAAUAAGUGCACCAGUGUCAUCAACAUGCUCUAUAGGAUCUAUGCACAGAUAAUCAAGUGCAUUAAACAAUGCAGGGAACUCAGAUAAAGCAACUGGAAUUUCAAGGUAAGAACACACAAUGUUAUCAUCAAGACUAUGAUUAAGCUCAGUGCACACAUCAUAAUUGUUGAGAUAUGAACUGAAAAGCACAAGUGACCAAGUUGAAACCUUUUCAAGACAAUCCAAUAUUCAGUCUAAUAAUGACACCAUAGUCAAAUAAUAUAGUAGGAGACUUACUGCCCUUCAUAAUAAGAAAUUCAAAUAUAUUAGAAAUUUAGAACCUGAAAGUGCAUAUCUAAUCAGAAUCAUAUGUGAUAUUAUAAACAUGGAAAGACUAAUAGAUGGUAAAAAAUCAUUAAUUUGAAAAACGAUCUUACCAACACACUGAAAAUCUUCUGAUAUGGAAUCUCACCACUGAUAGCUGCAUAACUAUAAACAAUGAAACAGUAAAUGUUGAAAAACCAAUCUUAAAAUUUCCUUGUAGAAAGAAUAUAAUAGAAAGAAGUACUAACACAAUCAGUGCAUCCUCAACUGUGCCUACUAGUAUUCUAACCAUUCCAACUGUCCACUUCAGGGGAAAAACUCUGAAUAUAGCCGAAGAUCAUUCUUCUAAGUUAUUACAUUAUAAUCCUUAAAGUAUUUAAACAUGAUAAAACAAAUAUGAAUACCUACCCAUCAUGAGGUAUACGUGCAAAAGUUGGUUUUAGACCAACAACACUGCAAAGAGAUGUUGGCAUCCUUACAGAUCCUGAACAUAUAAAUGAGCAAACAUCACAAGUAAUAAGAAAUAAUAAAUGCUGAUUUCUCUGGUCUUUGAUGUACAGAUAUAAAUCAAAUACCUCCACCAUCGACACCAAGGGCAACAAGACACAGUCCAGCAGACACCAGAGAAGCAGAUCCACUAGAAGAACCCCCUGCAAUCUUACUGAUAUCAUAUGGGUUUCUAACAGGCCUACAAAGUAAUAAGCAAACAUGUUCCUCAGCAGCCAAUACGGCAUCAAGCAUACCAAAGUAAACCUAGGUAGGUAAAGAAAAAAUAAGUAUACCGAGUACCUCUUUAAGAACUUCAAUUGAUUAGACACAAAUUUUCUAAAUAUAUACCUCGUUUUUUUCAAUGAUUUUUUUCUAAUUAUAGUGAAAAAAUUGUUCCAUCAUGCAAAUUAGAAAAGAUUGAACCUCUGGAGAUAUUAUACAGGAUUUUCUGGUACAAAAUUUCCUGGUCCUUAGCCCAUAUCAGAAGAGGAAUAUUUGAUUUCUGUCACCCACCGCUUACAACACAGCGUCGUCUGUCACGGGUGGAUUCUGUCACCCUCCACCAUUCACACACUCAUUCACGGAGUCUGUCACCCUCCGUGAUUCCCCUCUCUAAUUACAGAAACCCCUUUUUAUAGGGUGAAAGAUAGAGGGAAAAGGGGAAAGGAGAACCUUGGCAGCUUUGAACGCUUCGUGCUUCCCAUCGGACGGUCUCCGUUCUUUCUUUGCGAGCUCAAUCUCCAACCAUCCGAUCAUCUCCAUCCUCUGUGCCGAUUCAAACUCAUGUGCACGUUCAAGCUCCUUUGGUCACGCUCACGAGCUUCAUUCUUCUUCUCGCUCCAGCCCACUUAAACCCUAGCACAUGGGUUCCCUUUCUCUUUCUCUCUCGCUGGAACCUAAUAUGAAGGAGUGCUUUUAUCUCAUUUUUACCUUUGCUUGGAAGAGUGUUUUCUUCAAAUGAAAUGUGCGAACCAAAACCCCCAAAAGCAACUGCAUCUGCCAGCCUCCAAAACGGCACCGUCCCACUAAAGGUACCCAAAUCCAUUUUUGGUCAAAAUAGCCCAAUGGCCCAAUGUUCCAAAACACUUAAUUCCAAUUUAGAUGGACCCAAAUCAGCAGCACAUCGACCCAAAAUCAGUUUCGGCGGCCCAAAUUGCUCCCAGUCAGCACCAACCCAGCCGGCAACCCAAUCAGCUUCUGUUGACAAAAGAAUUAGCCCACUUGACCAAGGCCCAAUCUGCAGAAAAUUAAUCACCAAUUAGAAAAAGGUAUUUUAACAAUUAAAGAAAAUAAAAGAGCUAAAAUAAAAAAAAAAUAUUUUUUAUUAAAAGAUAUUUUUCAAAAAAUACUAAUUUCCUAAUUAGGAACAAGAAUAAAAAAAAAUACUCCUAAAAAUACCUUUUUAACUACAAUUUUAAAAUUCUACAGAUUUAAAAGAAAAAUCUAAAAUNAACCUAAUUCUAAACAAUAAGAAACUAAAAUGAACAAAGAAUGAUUUCUAAACACAAAAGGAUAAAAGUAUUGAAAGUUAUCACAUCCCCACACUUGCACUACUGCCCUCCUGGGAGGGAGGGCUAAAAAGAAAAGGAAAAGGAAAAACAAAGACUCGAUUUAUAAAAGGAAAACUAAAGACAAACUAGGAGGCUUAUAAAUUCUAUUUAAGCUAUCUCAAACCUGCCAAAACAUACCAAGUCAUGUUAUUUAUUUCAAUUAGAAUUGCACACAAAAGUAUUCCUAACUUCAAACUCAGGCUUCAGUAAUUCUAGCAAAUAAGAAACAACUUAAUUCAAUCAAAAUCAACAAAGCAAACAUCUGAUAAAGUAGCCGUCAGUCUCAACCUCACAGGAUGUAGUGUAUGCACUCAACUGUAUAGGACUAUCAUGUUUCACUCAAUCAUGACAUGUUAACCACCAUUCACAACUUUGAAAAAAAUUCUAAAUGAGAGUGUUUGACUCAAGGCUUUCUCUAAAUCACUAGGUCUUUAUUGGGCUUAAUGUACAUGGAAUGAAAUGGCAAAACAAAAAAGGAUGGGAAUUGAAAUAAUAAUGACAGUGCCAAUGUCUGCACAAAGAAUGAAUUAAAGGGUUAAAAAAUAUAAAAGCCUACCAUAGCAAAAAGUUUUAUUUAUUUAUUCUUUUCUGGAUAUUUUUACUAAAAGGGAAAAAUAUAUUUAUUAAAAAUUAUUAUUUAUCAUUU